rnacentral:rRNA from 1 species
AACGAACGCUGGCGGCAUGCCUAACACAUGCAAGUCGAACGCCAUGGCUUCGGCCAUGGAGUGGCGCACGGGUGAGUAACGCGUGGGAACCUGCCCAGCAGUAUGGGACAACCGCGGCAAACUGCGGCUAAUACCGUAUACGCCCGUCUUUGGGAGAACAGGGGCGGGGAAAGAUUGAUCGCUGUUGGAGGGGCCCGCGGCGGAUUAGGUAGUUGGUGGGGUAAAGGCCUACCAAGCCUGCGAUCCGUAGCUGGUCUGAGAGGAUGAUCAGCCACACUGGGACUGAGACACGGCCCAGACUCCUACGGGAGGCAGCAGUGGGGAAUAUUGGACAAUGGGCGCAAGCCUGAUCCAGCAAUGCCGCGUGAGUGAUGAAGGCCUUAGGGUUGUAAAGCUCUUUCACACGCGACGAUGAUGACGGUAGCGUGAGAAGAAGCCCCGGCUAACUCCGUGCCAGCCGCCGCAGUAA